UACCGGAUGUGACGUCAUUUAACGACUUCCACGCACGAAGACGGCGCGCAGAUGAUGGUGUUUCGGUCAUACCACAAUGACUUCUCCAGUCUGGCUAAAAGUUACAAAAGGUGAUCCUUCAGUAUGCCAUUCCUUCUUCAGUGAGUGACCUGUCAAAGGAAAUAGAAAAACAAUGUAAUCUACAAGGACAUUUAAGGAUGCAGUUCAUGGACUCUGACUUGGGCAAUUAGUUUUUAAGUGAAGUUAAAUUUACUCAAGCCCAAACCAGCUGGAAUUUCCAGUGCUGCUUACCAUAUAAAAAAAAACAUGCAACGCUGAGGUCAACUACUGCCCUUACCAUCCACAAACGGAGACAUCCAAAACACUGGAAGUAGUCAGUGUAAUACUUCUGUCUGAAAUUAAAAAGAACAAUGAGAAAACAUUAUGAAUGCUGAUGGACAUUUUUUUUAUCAGGAGACAUGAGGGUUGUCAAGGAAUCGUCUUCAAUAGCAGAUUUCAAAACUAGAUGGCAUGUUCUUUUCAGAAGGGAAGAGAUUUGUGCAGAGUUUAAAAGAAUCGCAACAGCCCUAUUGGUGUCUACAUACUUGGCGAAGAUGGAUCAAUAUUCUGCAAAGCUUAUAAGGAUCUAUGCAAAACGAGGAGUCGUCAAUUGACUGAGAAUUAAAAACCUGCUGGUUUCCACAACACGGACUGACAGCAUUGAUCAGGCUCCGAUCUUUCUUUGUCUACCUGAAUGAAGACCUGACCAGUCUAAUUAAAGAGUAUUUGGAUUCAGAUGCACCCAGUACCCAGGAGGCGAUCCAGAAGAUGGUGAUGUGAGUCCUUGUUGUAAAAAUGUAUGGUUCAGACAUCGAAGACAGCCCAGCAGAUGUUGGAGUGUUAUUGAAGGGAUUAAGAGUUCUUGGACCUCAACAACAUUGUGUAUGCGACAACACUGCUGAUGGGACUGAUAUAUGCACUGAACUUGAGCUACUUUCCUGAAUUCAGGUACACUUUUGAAGUAUUGCAGUUGUUGUUUCUGGAGCUAGAUGGGAAGUAACUAUCUCAUAAAGUUCAGACGCUGAAGACCAAGCCUUUUGCAGAUGUUUUGAGAAAGGAAUGUUUUAAUAUUUCAUAUGUAAAUGCCAUGUUUUUUUAAAUGAAGUUUUCGUGCAUUUCAUUUGUCAGUAACUGUAAAAAAAUUGUAAUGUUGUUAUAAGGUUACAUUGUAAUAUCCAAAGUCCUUAAAAACUUUGCAAGCUUUUCAAGUUGAUGAGUGCAUCUCAUUUGUUGGUAUAUCCUUUACGGUAUCUGUAGUUUAAGUGCAAUAAACAUGGCUUGAAGAA